UUGGCAGAAACUGUAGAUGUUCGAUGAGAAAGCAUGCGAGACGAAGUUCGUGGUAUGGUAGCCUGCCUAAUCAUGACGUGCCCACUACCCAGAGCUCUUUUUUGUAUCAGUCGCCCAUAUUCACUCUUUAGGGGUGUGCUUGAGAUAAAGAUUGCACAUAGUUUGCACUUACUUUUUUCAUCUCAACGUGUACUGUAGGCUAUUGUGAAGUUGACAAAAUAUUCCACCAUGCAUUCUUGUCUUGAAUACAAAGUUUAAACGCAGAAAUAGAUGAAGGAUUCCCUCUCUGGUCAGAUUUCUCAGCUGUGGCUGCUAGCUGACCCAUAACUACCCUAUCUCCCUCCACUGGGACGAUAACAUCUGCCGUGCCUCAGAGCUCUCCGGGACUGGUGCUAAGUGACCAUCAGCUGGCCUGAGAAUAUACAGUAUAUUGUGGCAGCUGCUGUAUCCUGUACUCCUCUGGUACUGCGAGGCCUCUGUCUAUUAUCUGGUGAGAAAAUCAUGUAAUGAGGACUAUCCCAGCUUCCUCCUGGUGCUUUCCAGCAACCCCUGGUCACAGUUAAAUGUUACAGGUUUCAACAUUGUGCCCGAGAUCAAGCAUUAACACCGUCUAGGUUCAGAGAUAUGCGAUGGAUGUCCCUGGGAGCACGGUACAGAGUUAAUAAGAAAAUCAUUAUUCUACCCCACUCUGACUGUGUCUUCCAAGCACACUGAUAAGGGUGUCCUGGGGGUGACCAUCGAAACAUACCUAAUGAGAACGUAGCUGUAAGGCAGGCUUUGGAUCCACUGUGGGAGUGUACAUACAGUGCUGCUGCCUGAUGAGAGAGCCGUGUGAAGCUUCCUUUCACUUGUGACAAAGUGCCCACUUUCAUCCCUCCUUCACUCUACACGUGUGAGGCUUUUUAGCAGGUCCCACAACUUCAUGAAUGGUAAUGCUGGGCAGGUCCUGCUUAAUCAGGACGUGGGAGGCUGUAAGCGAGGCUGAUUGGCAGUGAGAUUCCCAUAGGUGUGGGGACCCUAGCCUGUGGUCUACCUGCUGUUGCUUCCUGAUUGCUUACUAUAUACUCUCAGUGGGACAGCGAGAACAACCUUCCCUGGAAACAGAGAGUCCUUCUGGCUUAACACCUGCCCUUGUUGCUGCUCAUUUGAUACAAUCCAGUGAAAUUGUGUUUACCAACAAGACAAGCAGGACUGAGAAAGAAUAUUAGUGCACACACAAUUAAUAGACACUAAAUGUUUUAAAUAGGCCUAAACAUAGAAUAUAUAUGUUCAUGGUUAAUGGUUAAGAAAUGUGCAUGCAGGUACACUAUAUUUAAGACCAGAAAGAAUUACAGUGCAACAUGAUUUCACAAAUGCACUGCUUGAGUCUGAGGUUACUAUUGAGGUUUUUACAGUCUUGAACAUUUUGUUGUCAAGUAAACAAUAAUGGACCAAUUGAGAAUGUUGUUGUCUUGUCUCGCAGAGUAUGACAGUGCAAAACCCAUCUUUAAUGGAUGGGCAAAAGACUAGAAUAUUUUAGGACUGUAAGUCAAGACAGAGUGCCGAUGUUUAAACUGAAUUACAUGUGGAUUGAGUGGCCUUUUAUCAAUGCAGUUGUUCUGUUGAGAUUCUUCUGGCAGUCUCCU